rnacentral:rRNA from 1 species
AUUGAACGCUGGCGGCAUGCUUUACACAUGCAAGUCGAACGGUAACAGGCCGCAAGGUGCUGACGAGUGGCGAACGGGUGAGUAAUGCAUCGGAACGUGCCCAGUCGUGGGGGAUAACGCAGCGAAAGCUGUGCUAAUACCGCAUACGAUCUAUGGAUGAAAGCGGGGGACCGUAAGGCCUCGCGCGAUUGGAGCGGCCGAUGUCAGAUUAGGUAGUUGGUGGGGUAAAGGCCCACCAAGCCAACGAUCUGUAGCUGGUCUGAGAGGACGACCAGCCACACUGGGACUGAGACACGGCCCAGACUCCUACGGGAGGCAGCAGUGGGGAAUUUUGGACAAUGGGCGCAAGCCUGAUCCAGCAAUGCCGCGUGCAGGAAGAAGGCCUUCGGGUUGUAAACUGCUUUGUUACGGAACGAAACGGUCUGGGUUAAUACCUUGGCGUAAUGACGGUACCGUAAGAAUAAGCACCGGCUAA